ACCCUGAUCCAGCCAUGCCGCGUGAGUGAUGAAGGCCUUAGGGUCGUAAAGCUCUUUCGCCUGUGAAGAUAAUGACGGUAGCAGGUAAAGAAACCCCGGCUAACUCCGUGCCAGCAGCCGCGGUAAUACGGAGGGGGUUAGCGUUGUUCGGAAUUACUGGGCGUAAAGCGCACGUAGGCGGACUGGAAAGUUGGGGGUGAAAUCCCGGGGCUCAACCCCGGAACUGCCUCCAAAACUAUCAGUCUAGAGUUCGAGAGAGGUGAGUGGAAUUCCGAGUGUAGAGGUGAAAUUCGUAGAUAUUCGGAGGAACACCAGUGGCGAAGGCGGCUCACUGGCUCGAUACUGACGCUGAGGUGCGAAAGUGUGGGGAGCAAACAGGAUUAGAUACCCUGGUAGUCCACACCGUAAACGAUGAAUGCCAGUCGUCGGGUAGCAUGCUAUUCGGUGACACACCUAACGGAUUAAGCAUUCCGCCUGGG
rnacentral:rRNA from 2 species